AGCCCUGUGGUGUAGUGGCCAAUCAUAGCGGACUCUGGAUCCGUUGACCCCGGUUCAAAUCCGGGCAGGGCUA
rnacentral:tRNA from 1 species